GACGAACGCUGGCGGCGUGCUUAACACAUGCAAGUCGAACGGAAAGGCCCUGCUUUUGUGGGGUGCUCGAGUGGCGAACGGGUGAGUAACACGUGAGUAACCUGCCCUUGACUUUGGGAUAACUUCAGGAAACUGGGGCUAAUACCGGAUAGGAGCUCCUGCUGCAUGGUGGGGGUUGGAAAGUUUCGGCGGUUGGGGAUGGACUCGCGGCUUAUCAGCUUGUUGGUGGGGUAGUGGCUUACCAAGGCUUUGACGGGUAGCCGGCCUGAGAGGGUGACCGGCCACCUUGGGACUGGGAUACGGCCCAGACUCCUACGGGAGGCAGCAGUGGGGAAUAUUGCACACUGGGCGGAAGCCUGAUGCAGCAACGCCGCGUGCGGGAUGACGGCCUUCGGGUUGUAAACCGCUUUCGCCUGUGACGAAGCGUGAGUGACGGUAAUGGGUAAAGAAGCACCGGCUAACUACGUG
rnacentral:rRNA from 1 species